UGGGGAAUUUUGGACAAUGGGCGAAAGCCUGAUCCAGCAAUGCCGCGUGCAGGAAGAAGGCCUUCGGGUUGUAAACUGCUUUUGUACGGAACGAAACGGUCUGGGUUAAUACCCUGGGCUAAUGACGGUACCGUAAGAAUAAGCACCGGCUAACUACGUGCCAGCAGCCGCGGUAAUACGUAGGGUGCAAGCGUUAAUCGGAAUUACUGGGCGUAAAGCGUGCGCAGGCGGUUGUGUAAGACAGGCGUGAAAUCCCCGGGCUCAACCUGGGAAUUGCGCUUGUGACUGCAAAGCUGGAGUGCGGCAGAGGGGGAUGGAAUUCCGCGUGUAGCAGUGAAAUGCGUAGAUAUGCGGAGGAACACCGAUGGCGAAGGCAAUCCCCUGGGCCUGCACUGACGCUCAUGCACGAAAGCGUGGGGAGCAAACAGG
rnacentral:rRNA from 2 species